rnacentral:tRNA from 1 species
CGGGCCUCGAUCCCGUAAAAAUUCAAUUAACAGCUAAACACCCAAUCCAGCGGGCUUCUACCUAUNUUNUCCCGN